rnacentral:lncRNA from 1 species
AUGACUUACGAGCUGAUCAUGAAAUAAUAUUCUGAAAAAGAGACUAGAAGAAAGAAGAUAAUUGCUAUCAAAUUAAUGGCUCAAGAAGAAGAAGAUUCAAAAAAAUCAAAAAAUAAUGAAGAUGAUGAGGAUUUACAAUGAUCACAAAAAUAUUUAGACAAUUUAUAAAAAAAAAGAAGACAAGAGACCAAGAGAAGACCACU